GCGAGGGAUCAAUACAACAAUUAUCCCAAGCUUCCUAAACUCUACGUUUAAACGGAUCAGAAUGAAAAAAAUUCAAAACAAACUGGGUAAAUUUUUAAAAAAGAGAAAAAUGGAAUUAGAAAUGUGAACUAAAACAGAGGGACUAGUGGCACAAAUAUCCCUACCAAGACCAAAACGCGCAGAUCUAGCCGCAUCAGGGUCAGGUCCUCGGGUAUAGCCAACAAGAUACUUUUUUGAAGCCAUUGAAACAGGCCUCAAACGGUGUUGUUGCUCAGUCACUAUAAAACUAAAAAAACAAGAUUAAAAUGUGUUAGCCACUUUAAAAACAGAAUGGCAAAACCCUAGCCAUUAACUGUUCGGAAUCCUAGCCAUUCCAAGGCCCUUCGAUCCUCGCCAGAACUCCGAUUGUGACGGAGUGGGCAAGGAUUCAACAACACCAGGUGAAACCACCGUACGUGGGAGCCGUUCGUGGGGUGACGUGGAAGGGGCUAGAGGCGCGCGUGUGGGGGGAGCAGCAGCUGAAGGUUCUAGGGUUUUUUUUUUUUUUAAAGUUUUGGGCUAAUUUGGGUUUUAGGCUUAGUAUUUUAGGUAGUAUUUUAGGCCUGCUAUUUUAUUGGAUUUGUAAUAAAAAAUUGGACUGUUAUUGGACUUUUAAUAAUUUGGACUUAUUUUAUGUUGUUUUUUAUUUGGUUUUUAAUUUAUUAUUUCAAUCGGGCUCAGGCAAAUUGGGCUAAUUAUAGAAUC